AGCCAAUAGCUUUAACACCUUCUUGUUUUACUUUUAGAUCUACUCUCUGAUUCAUCCUAUUCUAGUAAUGAGAGUUUCUAAAAGCGUUCUCAAGUUCUCUUGAGUAUUCCUUAGUUCUACUGCUUGUUGAUGAAUAUUGUUUGCAAGAUUUUCAGUACGAACUAAUUUCUUUUCAAUAUCUACUAGAUAUUGUUUUUCCUUGAGGUAAUUUAGCUUGAUUUCAAGCUUGCCAAUUUUUGAGUUUAUUUCCUCAAGUUGAUUAAUCCGUAGUUUAAAUCUCUCGAGUUGCUCUGUAACCCUUUCAGAGGUCUUAUUCUUAGAUAAAUGAUCUAAGAACUCGAUUAAGCUUGGUCUUGAGGGAUCAAGCUCUUCUACUCCGAUCUCCUGUUGGAGAUGAAUAUGCUCGUCGUAUAGAGUAUUUAGUACUCUACAAAUAUAUUCAAUGGAGUAUUGAUUUUCUUGUAUAUGCCUUGAAUGAAAGCACACUUCCCACUUAUCAGUUCCUUUGUAGUACAAAAAGACUGAUAGUUUUUCAGUUUGGAUUCUCUUUUGUUGGUUGAGAGAAGCCAACUCUGUGGCAUAAGCCUUUUGUCACCUGCUUUUGAGCCAAGCAGGCUCUGAUACCAGCUAGAACGGAUCUAACCGAUGCUCAAAAUAUCAAGAGGUUUUUAGUCUUCUUCAAAAGUUUCUUGAAGAACUUCAAUUUCUUCUCUUGACUCGUAUAUCCUUCGUUGUAGUUGAAAGAUAAUAUCCCAAUAAUUUUUGGUACUUCUUGGAAGCUUGUCUAUUUUUUCUUUUAGUUUUCUCAAAUUUCUUCUUUCUUCUUGUAGUUCUUUAUAGGAUAAUUUAGCUUCUGCUAAAAAUUCUAAUCUUGUACCUGUAGCAAUUGAGUUAUUGAAAAAAAUUAACUGCUUACCCUUGAGUGAAGAGGAUAGAUCUAUAUUUGUACUUAAGUAAACAAAUUCAUACUUAUAGGCCCACCAUGCUCCGUCUAAAAGUUUUUUUUUUUUUUUUUUUUUUUACUUGUAACACACAGACUAAAGAUAAAACUAAAAGGGUAAAAACUGGCUAAAGGGGUUUUCCGGUUGGAUUUUCUGCAAUAAUGCUAGAUGACCUCAGCUAUCUUGUCUUCUAGUGAGAUCUGCAUGGUAUGCAGUGCUGCACACUAGAAUUUUCCUAACUUAAUAGCAAAAUAUAGCUGAGUGUUUGAUAAACUGACUUUUAAUAAGUGCGG
rnacentral:lncRNA from 1 species